UUCACAUAGAAAAUCUCAAAUACAUUAAACCAAAUGGUAAAAAGUAUUGAAAUUACAGUAACAAAAUGACAUUUGGUAAUCACCAUUUAAUCCAACUUGAAGCUCAGUUUUCUCAUUAACCUUAAGAAUACUAGUUGCCUGUCUAUUCCACAAGUCUCAUAGCUCCAAAUGUUAUCCCUAUUCAAAUAAAAGAAGUAAAGUAAUAAGCAUAACUAUCCAUCAUAAUAUUUCAAGUAUCAUGUAAGCACUCUGAUCUCUUAAGCAGUUGACAAUUAAGAGAUGAAACAAGCAGAACAAAUUAAAGAGACAAUACAAUUUUACAAUGGCAAACAGAGUUGAUUUUCAUAUAAAUUAAUAGAUCUAGGGAGCAACCAAAAGUAUGGAAUAGAAGUCCUUAGACAAACCUAUGUAUUCAAUCAUCACUUGAAAUCUUAGUUGAGCUUAGUUGAGCUUAGUUAAGCCUAGUUAACAAUCUCACCUUUUAGUUUCCGGACAUAUUUAAGCAUCUUGGUCAAUAAUCUUUGCACCAUCGCCACAGCCAAUAUUAUUGAAUUCAUUUGUGUGAGCAUAAAAUAAACAAACAAAAUUCAUAGAAUAUAAGAUCAGUUUGUCAGUCUAGAUUGAAACUUAAUAAAUCAUUUUGAAAAUAAAAAUGAAUUUAGUAUAAUUGGUUGCUUGCUUGUUUUAAAAGGUAAAAUAACUAGUUAUUGUAUUCAACAAAAUAAGCUGCAAAAUAAUAAUAAUAAUAAUAAUAAUAAUAAUUGUAUUAGGGAAAAAAAAAGUAGCAUGUGAAGGAUGGUAUGCUCUACAGCCCAAAAAUAUAAUAACAACAAUAAUAGGAAAAAAAUAAAAGAAAUAUAAAUAAAGCAUAUAAAAUUUUGGUCCUUUAAAUCCUAUUGGAAAAGAGAAGGAUUCUAAACACAAGAAGGCAACCAAGGUAAUGGUUUCAAGCUAAAAGCCUAUGUUUCUCUUCUUUACGAAUAUGAGUCCCAUACAUAGGUCAUUUAAAUUUCUAGGAAAUUAUCACCUCUAAAAUUAUUUUCAACCAAUUGCUUGAAACUUCCGCAUAUAUGCGCACUAGAAAAUAAAUAUGUGGAUGGUGUUGGUCCAGCAAAGAAAAGGCGAGAAAUGUCAUGAGCUAACGCUAUUAAUGUGAAUGCUCGUAGUAGUCUAAACUUAUAGACAGCCUAUCAUUUUGCCCAUGAGUGGAUAGCAUUUACAUCGAGAAAGUAGGAUCCUUAGUCCAUGAUCAUAUCCAGACUCUUACAACCAAUGAACAUAAUAUUUGAAAGUGCAAAUGGAUGUGGACAAGCUUCACAAAAAUAGAGUGCGGAUUAAGAAAUGGUCUCUAUUACGUAAGCAGACAUAGCAAACCACGAAGCUAAAGGUACAACUCCAGGCUGAUAAAUAGCUUUUGUUGUACAAGCAAACUGCUCAGUUUUAUGUCACAACAGUUAGUAUCUCGUGUUCUUGAGCAUAGAAGUACGAUAAUAUUUACCAUUAGAAUGCGCUAUCAACUCUGUUAAAUAUUUUUGUUUCAUGAUCGCUGUCUGUGUCUUCAUCUUCUACGUGCUUUGAAUUUUCUUAAAAUCGAACUCGUAUCCAGAAAAUGGAAACCCAUUACAAUAAAAUCAGUGUAUACAAAAAUAUAAUUGAUAUAUGGCAGUAACAGUAAAAAGAAACGGAAGCCAAGCAGCCGAUGCCCAGCAAAUUUUCUAGUAGACGACAAUGUCGGUUUUGAGAUACAGGACACAUUGUGCCGUCAUCCACUUACGACGACAUGUCGAUUGACUUGUGUAGUACCACAUACGACGUCCAGCUCACGACGGUUACAUGCAAGAAUGUGUUCAUCAUGUGCAAUCACUUGACACCUGAGCGUUAAAUAGGGAUGGCAAUUUACGGGUUUAGACCGGGCUUUUAAAGUCCAAGUCCAAGCCCAUAUUCUUGUUAAAAAGUCCAAGUCUUUUAAAAGCUCAUCCAAGUCUGAACAGACUGGGGCUGGACCGGACCUAAGCGGGCCUGGGCUGGGCUUAGGCCAGGCCUGGGCUUCUACUAAUUUUAAAAUAAAUUUUUAACAAAGUAAAAAAGGUAAAGUAAUCUUGAUUCAUUAGAACACCAACAAAAUUAUCAGUUUUCCCUAAAGAAAAAAAAAAAAAAAAAUUUAAAAAAUUUAAAAAAAAAAAAUUUAACAAAUUUAACAGCUGCUGCAGUCAAUCCUCAUCAAACAACAAUCCACCAAAAUCUAAAAAUUCCUAAUGAAAUAAACACUCAAUCCUCAUCCAACAACAAUUGAUAAAUUGAAAAGUACCAAAGUCGAGCACCUUAUAUCGAAAUAUACAUACCCAUCGCCAAAAACUUUGAAUACCCUAUUUACCUUGUAUUCCUUUUGUCAUUCAACAAUCCUGGACAUCAUCCUGAAGCAAAAAAACAAACUGAAAUACUGAAUCGAAAAUUCUAAUUGCCAAAAAGAACAAACCGAAAAACGAAGAUACUUACAACAAAUAUCAUAAUUUGGUCUUCUUAAAAGAUCUAAAUUGACAAUAACCAGUCUUCAAAACGAUCAAAGCAAGCAAACCCAUGGAAUCUAACACGAACUAAAUAAAAAACUCAGACCACCAAAUUUAAAAGCUAGCAUCUCACAAAAAAAUUAACAAAUUUAACAGUUGCUACCAAAAUUAAAGUCCUAAUCUAUUAAUCCCAACUCACAAAAAAGUAUUAAGGAAAAAAAAUUCAGGAUUAAGGAAAAAAAUUCACGAACAAUAAAAUAAAAAAAAAUCAAUCAACACAACUCAUCGGUGCAAUAGCAACGGAUGGUGAUGAGGUAAGGGGACAAAGACGGCUGAGAUGACGAGCUGCGGCCACUGGGUUCGCUGCUGCUGUUCGCGCUACUGGUGCUGGGUUCGCAGCUACAUCGCGCGCUGUGAAUCAGUGAUGGCAGGUGAAUCGAUGAUGGCUACAAUUGUUGGCAUUGGCCGUUGGGUGGGUUUGAGGUGAGCGUGUGCGUGUGUCGGCUGUUUCUUGGGUGUGUGCGUCGACUGAUCCAGUAUUUCUCUCUUCUGUUUGUCUUUUGAUUUAUGUCUAAUCUAGGGAAUUAGGGAUUUGGGGUUUUGAAUUUGUUUUUUUGAAUUUAUUUUUUAUUUAUAAGUGAAAAGCCCGGGCUCAAUCCCAGACUUUUUAAUCAGGCCCUUAACCAAGCCCAACUUAUAUAGGCUUUCUAUGUAUGAGCCCAUAUCCAUUAAUUUAUCACACAGGCCGGGCUGGCCCGGACUUGGGCCGGCUCGAGCUUUUUU
rnacentral:lncRNA from 1 species